CCGCGGGAGGAGGUACAGCGCGCGCCUCUCUCACUCUUCUAUGGACCAGCGUGACUCUCUCCUACGGGCGCGAGACAGUGAGAGUGAACGGUAGAGUGGGCGUGUGUGUACCUGCCCGCUGUGUGUACCUGUGUGUACGUGUGUUGUGUGUGCGUGUUUCGUCACCACCACCCACACACACACCUUACCCUUGGCACUCCCGGACAGGCUUGAGCUGAAGACGUGCUGGGCGGCGCGGGCUUGUCUCAACACGGCGGGACCUCAGAUCUGAGUGAAGGGCGCGGGCAGAGGUCAGCCGCGACACUCCAACAAGAGAUGUGACAGAGAGCCGUACAUGCUUCCCGGGGUGUUGCUGGUAAGUGUGUUUGUUCGUUGGUUUCACCAUUUAUCUAUUUUAAAUAUCUAUCUAUCUAUCUAUCUAUCUAUAU